GAACGCUGGCGGCGUGCCUAAUACAUGCAAGUCGAGCGGGGAUUAUGCUUGAUCGCUUCGGUGAGACGGCAUAUAUCCUAGCGGCGGACGGGUGAGUAACGCGUGGGUAAUCUACCUCGUAGUUCGGGAUAACAGGCCGAAAGGCUUGCUAAUACCGGAUGAGUUCAUGCUUAUGCAUAUAGGCAUGAAGAAAGGGCUAGCCCGCUAUGAGAUGAGCCCGCGUCCCAUUAGCUUGUUGGUGGGGUAAUGGCCUACCAAGGCAACGAUGGGUAGCCGGCCUGAGAGGGUGUACGGCCACACUGGGACUGAGACACGGCCCAGACUCCGUACGGGGGGCAGCAGUAGGGAAUUUUCGGCAAUGGGCGAAAGCCUGACCGAGCGACGCCGCGUGAGGGACGAAGGCCUUCGGGUUGUAAACCUCUGUCUGGGGGGAUGAGAACGGACGGUACCCCCGGAGGAAGCCCCGGCUAACUACGUG
rnacentral:rRNA from 1 species